UACAGAGGUCUCAAGCGUUUGUUCGGAUUCAUUGGGCGUAAAGGGUGCGUAGGUGGCGCCAUAAGUCAGGUGUGAAAUCUCGGGGCUUAACUCCGAAACUGCAUUUGAUACUGUGGUGCUUGAGGACUGGAGAGGAGACUGGGAAUUUACGGUGGUAGCAGUGAAAUGCGUAGAGAUCGUAAGGAAGACCAGUGGCGAAAGGCGGGUCUCCUGGACAGU
rnacentral:rRNA from 1 species